UACGUAGGGUUCAAGCGCUAUCCGGAUUCAUUGGGCGUAAAGGGUGCGUAGGCGGCGCGGUAAGUCGGGUGUGAAAUCUUGGAGCUUAACUCCGAAACUGCAUUCGAUACUGCCGUGCUUGAGGACUGGAGAGGAGACUGGAAUUUACGGUGUAAGCGGUGAAAUGCGUAGAUAUCGUAAGGAAGACCAGUGGCGAAGGCGGGUCUCUGGACAGUCCUGACGCUGAGGCACGAAGGCCAGGGGAGCAAACGGG
rnacentral:rRNA from 1 species